rnacentral:rRNA from 1 species
UACAGAGGGUGCAAGCGUUAUCCGGAUUUAUUGGGCGUAAAGCGUUUCGUAGGCGGCAAUCUAAGUUAUCUUUCAAAGACCACGGCUUAACCGGGGGAAGGGAGAUAAUACUGGGUUGCUUUGGUUGCCGGUGGGGCAUCUGGAACUGAUGGUGUAGUAGUGAAAUACGUUGAUAUCAUCAGGAACUCCAAGGGCGAAGGCAGGAUGCUAAUCGGUUAACAACGCUGAGGAACGACAGCUAGGGG